AGCGAACGCUGGCGGCGUGCUUAACACAUGCAAGUCGAGUGCGCGACAUUUGUAGCAAUACAAAUGUUGGCGCACGGCGCACGGGUGCGUAACACGUGGGUAAUCUGCCCUCCGAUGGGGAAUAACCCCGCGAAAGCGGGGCUAAUUCCGCAUAACAUUCCUAUGACCUCGGUUGUGGGAUUCAAAGGCGUAAGUCGUCGGAGGUGGAGCCCGCGCACGAUUAGCUAGUUGGUAGGGUAACGGCCUACCAAGGCUAUGAUCGUUAGCUGGUCUGAGA
rnacentral:rRNA from 1 species